rnacentral:misc_RNA from 1 species
GGAAGUAAAAGUCGUGACAAGGUCUCCGUUGGUGAACCAGCGGAGGGAUCAUUACCGAGUGCAAACUCAUAACCCUUUGUGAACCUAUAUCUGUUGCUUCGGCGGCUCGCUCUCGGGCGAGCCCGCCGGUAAUAUCAGUAUCUCUGUUUGAACCCGACGAUACUUCUGAGUGUUCUUAGCGAACAGUUAAAACUUUUAACAACGGAUCUCUUGGCUCUA